AUUGAACGCUGGCGGCAUGCCUUACACAUGCAAGUCGAACGGCAGCACGGGGGCAACCCUGGUGGCGAGUGGCGAACGGGUGAGUAAUACAUCGGAACGUGCCCAGUAGGUGGGGGAGUACGCCCGGCGAAAGCCGGAUUAAUACCGCAUACGACCUACGGGUGAAAGGCGGGGAGUCGCAAGACCUCGUGCUACCGGAGCGGCCGAUGUCAGAUUAGG
rnacentral:rRNA from 1 species